rnacentral:snRNA from 1 species
AGCUUUGCGCAGUGACAUUACCGUAGCUGAUGAGGUCCAUCCGAGGCGCGGUUAUUGCUGAUUGAAAACUUUUCCCAAUACCCCGCGAGACGACUUGAAACAUAGUCGGCUUUGCAAUUUUUGUGGGCCCUGCUUAG